AUGGAGUACCGAGCGCGGUCCGAUGAGGCGUGGUACGGCGCGCGCGUGGUGGUGCAGCAAGGCUUGCUCCGCGUCAUGUUCGAGAAUUCCACCGAGGAUGCGGACGAGUGGUACGAUCCAGGGGCUGACUUCGCAUCCCCGGGCGACGUGGACGCGCUCCGCGCCAGGUUCCGCCGGGAAUGCCUGGCCCUCGACGACGCCCGCUGCGGGGAUCUCCGCCCGGGAGACAAGCUCUGCCUCGCCUACUAUAUCCACGGCGAAGUCGAGGAGCUCAAGUACUACGACGCCGUCCUCGAAACCGUAGAGAGGGCAGAGCACGGCGUGGAGGGGUGCGCGUGCCGUUUCACGGUCCGCUGGACGGAGGGGCCGCGUAGCGGUUGCUUGGACAAGGUCGGCAUCAAGGUGGUCUGCUGCGUGCCGGAGUCACCGAUCCAAGAUCCGGUGCUGAGCGAGUUCCUGGACGAUCUGACAAAGAAGUUCGGCGAGGACCAAGGGACGGCGACGGCAGCGUCUCAGCAGGCAGCCCCGACCCCGAUCAGCGACAGCGAGGAGGAAUUGUGCCGGUACAGUCUCGCAUACUCCUCGAGUAGUAGUCUUUUCGUCUUGUAA
rnacentral:rRNA from 1 species